UGGAUGCAUAGCUCAGUUGGUUAGAGUGCUACGUUGACAUCGUAGAAGUCACUGGUUCGAAUCCAGUUGUAUCCAA
rnacentral:tRNA from 1 species